UACGUAGGGUGCAAGCGUUAAUCGGAAUCACUGGGCGUAAAGAGUUCGUAGGCUGUUAACUAAGUCUGAUGUGAAAGCCCUGGACCUAAUCCAGGAAGUGCAUUAGAUACUGAUUGACUAGAGUGCAGGAGGGGAGAGCGGAAUUCCAGGUGUAGAGGUGAAAUUCGUAGAUAUCUGGAGGAACAACAGGGGCGAAGGCGGCUCUCUGGACUGCAACUGACGCUGAGGAACGAAAGCAUGGGGAGCAAACAGG
rnacentral:rRNA from 1 species